rnacentral:rRNA from 1 species
CGGCGCACGGGUGCGUAACGCGUAUGCAAUCUGCCUUCCACAGAGGGAUAGCCCAGAGAAAUUUGGAUUAAUACCUCAUAGCAUUACAGGAUGGCAUCAUCCGGGUAAUUAAAGUCACAACGGUGGAAGAUGAGCAUGCGUCCCAUUAGCUAGUUGGUAAGGUAACGGCUUACCAAGGCGACGAUGGGUAGGGGUCCUGAGAGGGAGAUCCCCCACACUGGUACUGAGACACGGACCAGACUCCUACGGGAGGCAGCAGUGAGGAAUAUUGGUCAAUGGGCGCAAGCCUGAACCAGCCAUGCCGCGUGCAGGAUGACGGUCCUAUGGAUUGUAAACUGCUUUUGUACGGGAAGAAACACUGAUUCGUGAAUCAGCCUGACGGUACCGUAAGAAUAAGGAUCGGCUAACUCCGUGCCAGCAGCCGCGGUAAUACGGAGGAUCCAAGCGUUAUCCGGAAUCAUUGGGUUUAAAGGGUCUGUAGGCGGUCUUGUAAGUCAGUGGUGAAGCCCAUCGCUCAACGGUGGACGGCCAUUGAUACUGCAGGACUUGAAUUACCGGGAAGUAACUAGAAUAUGUAGUGUAGCGGUGAAAUGCUUAGAUAUUACAUGGAAUACCAAUUGC